rnacentral:rRNA from 1 species
AUAAGCGGAGGAAAAGAAACCAACAAUUGCCCUAGUAACGGCGAGUGAAGCGGCAACAGCUCAAAUUUGAAAUCUGGCUCUCGGGCCCGAGUUGUAAUUUGUAGAGGAUGCUUUUGGCAAGGUGCCUUCCGAGUUCCCUGGAACGGGACGCCAUAGAGGGUGAGAGCCCCGUCUGGUUGGACACCGAGCCUCUGUAAAGCUCCUUCGACGAGUCGAGUAGUUUGGGAAUGCUGCUCUAAAUGGGAGGUAUAUGUCUUCUAAAGCUAAAUACUGGCCAGAGACCGAUAGCGCACAAGUAGAGUGAUCGAAAGAUGAAAAGCACUUUGAAAAGAGAGUUAAAAAGCACGUGAAAUUGUUGAAAGGGAAGCGCUUAUGACCAGACUUGGGCUUGGUUGAUCAUCCGGCGUUCUCGCCGGUGCACUCUUCCAGUUCAGGCCAGCAUCAGUUUGCCUCGGGGGAUAAAAGUAGCGGGAAUGUGGCUCCUCCGGGAGUGUUAUAGCCCGCUGCAUAAUACCCUGUGGCAGACUGAGGACCGCGCUUCGUGCAAGGAUGCUGGCGUAAUGGUCAUCAGCGACCCGUCUUGAAACACGGACCAAGGAGUCGUCUUCGUAUGCGAGUGUUCGGGUGUCAAACCCCUACGCGUAAUGAAAGUGAACGCAGGUGAGAGCUUCGGCGCAUCAUCGACCGAUCCUGAUGUUCUCGGAUGGAUUUGAGUAAGAGCAUACGGGGCCGGACCCGAAAGAAGGUGAACUAUGCCUGUGUAGGGUGAAGCCAGAGGAAACUCUGGUGGAGGCUCGCAGCGGUUCUGACGUGCAAAUCGAUCGUCAAACAUGGGCAUGGGGGCGAAAGACUAAUCGAACCUUCUAGUAGCUGGUUUCCGCCGAAGUUUCCCUCAGGAUAGCAGUGUUGAACUCAGUUUUAUGAGGUAAAGCGAAUGAUUAGGGACUCGGGGGCGCUAUUUAGCCUUCAUCCAUUCUCAAACUUUAAAUAUGUAAGAAG